CUUGUCUUCUGAGACCUGCUUUAUGGAGUGAAAUGGGAGAUUAUAUACUAAAUCAAUGAGCAUCUCCAACAUACUUAAAAAUGUGUGUUUCGUGUCUUGCCGUUGGCAGUUUAGGCAGCAUUAUGAUUUUGUUCACUCAUGCUCUGCAUUGUUUGUACAUUACUUUUCCAAUAAAAUAUGCUUCAGACUUCUGUUUGUGCAUUAAGCAUUGAGAAAUGUUUAAAUCGUGUUACAGAACAGCCAAUUAGGCACCCUACCUGGUGCAUAUAUUUAAUGCUAUAAUGCAUAUUUGGAAUAUCAUAUUAACAAUUUUUCCAAGAGGUCCUCAUCAUCAUAUCCUGGUGUAACAGUCUCUUCUUUUCCUGAAACCUUCUCCACCAUGAUUUCUUUUUCUUCUUUAAUCUUCCACCUCUGCCCUUGUUCAUCAUUUUCAACCUAGUCAUGAAGGAACACCAGUUUCCGAUGGACCACGUUAUGAUACAAAACUGUAUGACUCUGUAUGGGAACUGUUGAACCACGGCCUGAACCUCUGAUUGAUCACCUGAGGCAAGCACUGAGUCAGCCGCAGGAGCACAGGUGAAGGCAAUUCAGCUGUGUGGCCGGAAGGGCUGAAGCCUGGCUGCACCUCUCCUAGACCCCAUUUAAGGGCUGACUGCCACUGAAGAAGGAUCUCUUUCCAGAGAUUGCUCCUCUUUGAGUUUCUCCUGCAGUCCUACAACACGGAUCCUGAACUCCUAGAGGCAGAUUCACAAUGACUUGGCUGAAUACAUGUGUCUGAUUCAUGUGAUUCUGACCCAGUGCUCACCUACCCCACUACUGCUGUAUCACAGUACAAGAAAUCUCAAUGUUACAUGAUGCAGCAAAGGCCCUGUAGGAGGAUUACUUAAGGAUAUUGAUUCAGUUUACUGGAAGAGUGAUGCAUUGAUAUUGUGAAUUAACCUGCUAGAAUUCUCACAGUCCUCCUUUCAGAUCUCAGUUCACAUCAGGCUGGGUAGAUUUCUGCGCAGUUCCCAGCUGAGUCACCAGAGAGGGGCCCGCCUUCAUCAUGGAUCAAUUUGAUUUCAAGCCCUGACAAAUACCCAGCUUCAAGAUGGGGGACAAUCUGUAAUGUGCUUUAUGAGAACACAAGGAAAUGAUGAAAAGUUCAAGAGUGACAGCUUGAAGUUCUGUAUGCAUACAAAAAGGACAACGUGAAUAAUGUCAGCAUGCACUUCCCCUUCCCUUCAGGAGCUCCAGAAUAUUUUAGAUGUGUAAAAAGAAUGUACUACUGUGACCUGACAUUACAAGUAUUUGAGGGGCAAAACCACAGCACUUCUAUAUUGACAGAUCACAUACUCUUAAUGCUGAGAUAUAUUUAUCUAUCUAGUACUCUAAGAUGCUGAAGGGGUAGGAUGUGCUUGAGAUAAAAAUAUGUCGGUACUGUUGAAUCAUACCAAAAACUUAACUUAAAAGACCUUCCUCUGACAAAAGCAACAACAACAAAACUGAAACAUAAAAUAUGCUAGACCUUCUUAUUUAAAUAGUAUUUGAAUUGAGCCAUUCUGACUACAAAGGCUUGAAGCCUGGAUACAGCCCUGAACUAAUUUCCUGCCUUUUGCUUUUGUUUGUCAGUUAACGUCAUACAGAUCAUGUCAUAUAAAUGAAGCUGAACACUGUUUAGGUCUUAGUGUUAGCAAACAAGAAAUCAUGAUUUGAUUCUUGCAUUCUGUGCCUCUGUCCUUGAGCCAACUCUGUGUGCUUUGUGCUUGCUACAGCACUGAACGUAUAACUGAUUGUUGGUAAUACUGAAAAUGACAUGCAUAUUGAAAUGCUUGCAAGACUGAAGUUUUUAACAUAAAAUAAAUCAGUACUUUGCUUUUGGGUUUCUUUGUUUGUUUUGUUUUGUUUUUUUGGCUGAAGAGUUGAGAGCAUUUUAUCUUAGGCCAACUGGAAAGUUACCUUUCAUUUCCUUCUCCCCCCCAAUAUUGUUUGUUUAAAGUGUUUUUACUUUUUUAUACAAGUCAAAUUAAAUUUAGAGAUAAAGAGCUGUUUUAAACUGAAAAUCAGAAUAUUUCAUACUGGAAGUGCUUAAAUCAUUAGAAGACCAAAAGAGUAAUCUUCUAGAAAUUCACAAAACAAUCCUUCUGUGUAAUUUUGGAGGGUAGAAGAUAUUAUUAAGAAUAUAUAUUUUUUCUAAUAUUAGAUGUUUUAAUAUUAUAAAAUCAUGGAAUGGUUGGGUUGGAAGGGACCUCAAAGCCCACCCAUUCCCACCCUGUGCUGUGGGCAGGGCUACCACCCACCAGUUCGAGCAGCCCAGGGCCCCAUCCAACCUGGCCUUGAACCUCCAGGGAUGAGGCUCAUUCUCAGCACCUCACUGCCCACUGAGAAAAGAAUUUUUUUCAACAUCUCCCCUAGAUUUCCCCUCUUUUAGUUUAAAGCCAUUCCUCCUUGUUCUGUUGCUAUCAGACCACUUAAAAAGUUGGCCCCCCUCCUGCACAAUAUUAUCAGUAACAUGGUCAAUAACUUUUUACCCAUUUCCAGUUGUAACAUCUGCUCUAUGCUGAGAGACGUACAUUCAACCUGACCAACCUGGCUGCUUGUUCUUCAAAACCAAUGCUAGCGAGGAGUUACAGCAUUUUCUAUUUCUGCAUUUGAGCAUGGAGGAUGGAAAAAGUACCAAGCUCUGAGCUAUGCUCAAUGAAACAGAAUCCCGUCCAGAUCCUCAGUCUGAUACAAAGUCAAGAAAAGUGGCUUCAGGAAACUAGGGACUGUGAAUAUCACUGAUUUAAGAACUGGAUAAUUUAUAAAUCUAUUUAAUCUCCAGCCAACGAUUCUUUCCCUGCUAACAGCUUGCAAAGCAGAGUUAACCUUUUAGGCUAUUAUUUCAAGUGGCCUCUGAGUGAUGGCUACAGGGAGACGUUUCUCUUGAUGUUGAGUCCUUUCUACUUCCCUGUGGAAAUGCCCAGUGCCUUGUGCUGCAGGCACAGCACUUUGGGCCAGGGCUGUGUUUCCUAAGGGAGCUCCUACUCUCCAGUAAAGACCAUUUUUCUAGUUGCCAACUUCACUUCUUCCACGGGCCUGCUGGCCCCUGGCAGGCCUCAGGCAGAAGUGGGGAUGAAAAGGAAAAAAGGAGUUCUCCUGAGGAGAAACCUUAAUUGUGAUGUUUUCCCUUUGCAUUCAUUUGGUCCAUAACUACUUUGCCAUCUUAAAGAGCCAUGGCACAGAUGGUGUCCCAGCAAAUCUUCAGUGCCAGGUGUAGAUGAUGGUUGCUUUCUCCAGGCCGCCAUCCUCCCAUCGCGCACUCCUGUUGGUGUCUGAACUGGUGCAUUGACUCAAAAGCAAAACACCUUCUCUGUGUUCUUACGGGAGUCAGAUUUUCACGUCUCUUCUCUCACAGCUCAAAGACAGCCACUCAGUUGAUAUAGUCACAGAGGCUGCUGAAACCUUGGAUGCUUUCUUAAAUUACCUCUUUGAUGGCCUGUGCCUACACUUCUUGAGGUGACCCCUGUAUGUGCUUGUGUUUUCCUACAGAGAUACAGCCCAUCUUCUCACGUGUCAUAGAAUUGUGAGAUGGAAGAGACCCUUAUAGGCCAUCUCCCAUAGCCCAACUCCCCUGCAACAAACAGGGACACCCACAGCACAAUCAGGGUGCUCAAAGCCCCUCCAGCCUGACCUUAGAUGUCUCCAGGGAUGGGGCAUCCACCACCUCUCUGGG
rnacentral:lncRNA from 1 species